rnacentral:rRNA from 1 species
AGUGAACGCUGGCGGUAGGCCUAACACAUGCAAGUCGAACGGCAGCACAGUAAGAGCUUGCUCUUACGGGUGGCGAGUGGCGGACGGGUGAGGAAUACAUCGGAAUCUACUUUUUCGGGGGGGAUAACGUAGGGAAACUUACGCUAAUACCGCAUACGACCUACGGGUGAAAGCAGGGGAUCUUCGGACCUUGCGCGAUUGAAUGAGCCGAUGUCGGAUUAGCUAGUUGGCGGGGUAAAGGCCCACCAAGGCGACGAUCCGUAGCUGGUCUGAGAGGAUGAUCAGCCACACUGGAACUGAGACACGGUCCAGACUCCUACGGGAGGCAGCAGUGGGGAAUAUUGGACAAUGGGCGCAAGCCUGAUCCAGCCAUACCGCGUGGAUGAAGAAGGCCUUCGGGUUGUAAAGCCCUUUUGUUGGGAAAGAAAAGCAGCAGGUUAAUACCCCGCUGUUCUGACGGUACCCGAAGAAUAAGCACCGGCUAACUUCGUG